rnacentral:rRNA from 1 species
GAACCCGCUUCGGUGGGGGAUUAGUGGCGAACGGGUGAGUAACACGUGGGCAAUCUGCCCUGCACUCUGGGACAAGCCCUGGAAACGGGGUCUAAUACCGGAUAUUGACCUGCUUGGGCAUCCAAGUGGGUGGAAAGCUCCGGCGGUGCAGGAUGAGCCCGCGGCCUAUCAGCUUGUUGGUGAGGUAGUGGCUCACCAAGGCGACGACGGGUAGCCGGCCUGAGAGGGCGACCGGCCACACUGGGACUGAGACACGGCCCAGACUCCUACGGGAGGCAGCAGUGGGGAAUAUUGCACAAUGGGCGGAAGCCUGAUGCAGCGACGCCGCGUGAGGGAUGACGGCCUUCGGGUUGUAAACCUCUUUCAGCAGGGAAGAAGCGUGAGUGACGGUACCUGCAGAAGAAGCGCCGGCUAACUACGUGCCAGCAGCCGCGGUAAUACGUAGGGCGCAAGCGUUGUCCGGAAUUAUUGGGCGUAAAGAGCUCGUAGGCGGCUUGUCGCGUCGGUUGUGAAAGCCCGGGGCUUAACCCCGGGUCUGCAGUCGAUACGGGCAGGCUAGAGUUCGGUAGGGGAGAUCGGAAUUCCUGGUGUAGCGGUGAAAUGCGCAGAUAUCAGGAGGAACACCGGUGGCGAAGGCGGAUCUCUGGGCCGAUACUGACGCUGAGGAGCGAAAGCGUGGGGAGCGAACAGGAUUAGAUACCCUGGUAGUCCACGCCGUAAACGGUGGGCACUAGGUGUGGGCAACAUUCCACGU